rnacentral:tRNA from 1 species
GGGGUUGUGGCUCAGUGGCAGAGCCGUCUCCAUGGCAUGUGGAGGGUCCCGAGUUCAAUCCCCAGCAUCUCCA